AGGCAUCGUGGCCGAGGGGUUAGGCGGAGGUCUGCAAAACCUUAUACAGCGGUUCAAAUCCGCUCGAUGCCUCACU
rnacentral:tRNA from 1 species